GAUGAACGCUGACAGCAUGCUUAACACAUCAGCAAUUGAUUGGUGGCGGAGGGGUGAGUAACGCGUAAAGAACUUACCUCACAGUUAGGGACAAAAUUUGGAAACGAAUGCUAAUACCUAAUACUGUGAGAGAGCUUUGCGUCACAUUGGCUAGUUGGAGAGGUAACUGCUCACCCAGGCGAUGAUGGGUAGCCGGCCUGAGAGGGUGAUCGGCCACAAGGGGACUGAGACACGGCCCUUACUCCUACGGGAAGCAGCAGUGUGGAAUAUAGGACAAUUGACCAAAGUCUGAUGCAGCAAUUCUGUGUGCACGAUGAAGUUUUCGGAAUGUAAAGUGCUUUCAGUUGGGAAGCGGUACCAACAGAAGAAGUGACGGCUAAAUACGUGCCAGCAGCCGCGGUAAUUC
rnacentral:rRNA from 1 species